rnacentral:ribozyme from 1 species
AAUGGAAUACAACAGAAUGGACACAUGCAAAUAUGAGAAUUAGGUGUACAUGUGGGGUAUGCUGUGCUACUCCUUUUUUUUCUUUGUUUUCACUCCUCUGUUGUAUCUCUCUU